UUGAACGCUGGCGGCAGGCCUAACACAUGCAAGUCGAGCGGAUGAAGGGAGCUUGCUCCUGGAUUCAGCGGCGGACGGGUGAGUAAUGCCUAGGAAUCUGCCUGGUAGUAGGGGAUAACGUCCGGAAACGGGCGCUAAUACCGCAUACGCCCUGAGGGAGAAAGUGGGGGAUCUUCGGACCUCACGCUAUCAGAUGAGCCUAGGUCGGAUUAGCUAGUUGGUGGGGUAAAGGCCUACCAAGGCGACGAUCCGUAACUG
rnacentral:rRNA from 1 species